CGCACAUUGCGCCCCUCGGUAGCCCGGGGGGCAUGCCUGUCCGAGCGUCAUUUCUAGACCGUCAAGCCCCGCUUGGUAUUGGGCUUCGCCCCUAAAUGAUAGGGGCGUGUCCUGAAUCGGUCGGCCGGCCGCCGCGGCGGGUUCCCGGAGCGUAUAAGGACUAAAGACCCUGGGAGGCCACGAGGCGCGCACCGCCCCUAAUAAGAAAAGCUUCGCGCUACGCAAGGUUGACCUCGGAUCAGGUAGGGAUACCCGCUGAACUUAA
rnacentral:misc_RNA from 1 species